CUGUUUCUGGAGGAGAUAGACUACUCCAUUCUAAAAUGAUGUGACUAAUACUGUCAUUUUAUUUCUUGAGAAGAUUUUUAUGUACAUUUGUAUAAUAUGUAAAAAUACAAUAUAAUAAACACAAACAUAAUGUAUAAAUGUAACAUGCAUGAAUGCAGACAUGAAUGCAAGUUUAGUAACUCACACUUUAAUAGGUAGACCUAGGACCCUUAAGGAAUGAUAGCUUUUGUCAACAUCAUUGUUCCCCCAGCUGCUUCGGGGCUUUGUCAUAUUUUUAUACAAAAGCCCUAUUGUGCCUACUGCCCUUCUGACCGUUCAAGAUUCAUUGUUACUCUGACAGGCGCUGUGGAGGGGACAGGCGCAUUCACUCCUUUCUUUGUUCGGACCAGACCCAGUCCAAUUCCACCCUGAAUGACCCCUGUCCCAGGGGGACAGAGGCACAGGCCCUCACAUGCUUACUCCUGGAAGGGAUGCAAGAAGCCUGCUCACAUCUCAUAGCCCAAGGGACGUGCAAGGUAUGUAACAUGUUAGCAGGCCCAUCAUCCUUCAUAUGCCACGAGCUCUGAGUUGCUGACAGAGCCCGAGGUUAGUUGCUAGAAUCCAAGUCUCCUGUAUUUGGAUGGUGGGGUGACAGAGGAGUGGUCUUGAGGGGACAGGCUCUUCCCUUAGAGGCAUUUCCUAGCGGCCUGAUGCAUGGGCAGAAUUUCCUAGGAAGUUGCACAGGCAGAAUCAACUGAUGCUCCUAGAGCUUUGCAGAUAUCAUCCAUAGUCCCGCCCUGAAAUGGCUUAUCGUCUACCCUAGAAAACUUCUGAAGAAACUUGACUCUGGCGUGCAGGGCAACUAACAGCCUAGCAUCCUUAGCUCCUCCAGACUGUGUUCAUUUCUUAUGGCUGCCGGGAAAAUUACCAAAAACGUGGUGGCUUGAACAACACAAAUUAUUAUCUUGUAGUUCUGCAGGUUGGCAGUCAAGCAUGGCUUAGAAUUACUGACGGCAGCCUCCUUGCUGGAGGCUCUAGGGGAAUCUGUUGUCUUUCCUUUUCCAGCGUCCAGACUUCCUGCCAUCC
rnacentral:lncRNA from 1 species